GCCGCCAUGGUGAAAUUGGUAGACACGCUGCUCUUAGGAAGCAGUGCUAAUGCAUCUCGGUUCGAGUCCGAGUGGCGG
rnacentral:tRNA from 5 species